UACGUAGGGUGCAAGCGUUAUCCGGAAUUAUUGGGCGUAAAGAGUAUCGUAGGCGGUUUUAUAAGUCAUUUGUCUAAGCCCGGGGCUUAACUCCGGAAAGGCAAGUGAUACUAUUUAACUAGUAUUCAGUCGGGGAUGCUGGAAUGUCUGGUGGAGGGGUGAAAUCCGUUGAGAUCAGAUAGAACACCAAGGGCGAAGGCAGGCAUCUAGGCUGUAAUAGACGCUGAUGAACGAAAGCUAGGGUAGCAAAAGGGAUUAGAUACCCCUGUA
rnacentral:rRNA from 1 species